rnacentral:rRNA from 1 species
CCUACGGGAGGCAGCAGUGAGGAAUAUUGGUCAAUGGACGAGAGUCUGAACCAGCCAAGUAGCGUGAAGGAUGACUGCCCUAUGAGUUGUAAGCUUCGUGUAUAUGGGAAUAAAAUGUUCCACGUGUGGCAUUGUGUAUGUACCAUAUGAAUAAGGAUCGGCUAACUCCGUGCCAGCAGCCGCGGUAAUACGGAGGAUUCGAGCGUUAUCCGGUUUGAUUGGGUUUAAUGGGAGCGUAGGUGGAUUGUUAAGUCAGUUGUGCAAGUUUGCGGCGCAACCGUAAAAUUGCAGUUGAAACUGGCAGACUUGAGUACAGGAGAGGUGGGCGGAAUUCGUGGGGUAGCGGUGGAAUGCUUAGAUAUAACGAAGAACUCCGAUUGCGAAGGCGGUUCACUGGACUGCAACUGACACUGAGGCACGAAAGUGUGGGGAUCAAACAGGAUUAGAUACCCUUGUAGUC